rnacentral:rRNA from 1 species
UACGUAGGGACCAAGCGUUGUUCGGAUUUACUGGGCGUAAAGGGCGCGUAGGCGGCAUGACAAGUCACUUGUGAAAUCUCCGGGCUUAACCCGGAGCGGUCAAGUGAUACUGUCGUGCUAGAGUGCGGAAGGGGCUACUGGAAUUCCUGGUGUAGCGGUGAAAUGCGCAGAUAUCAGGAGGAACACCGGUGGCGAAGGCGGGUCUCUGGGCCGUAACUGACGCUGAGGAGCGAAAGCGUGGGGAGCGAACAGG